rnacentral:rRNA from 1 species
AUUGAACGCUGGCGGCAGGCCUAACACAUGCAAGUCGAGCGGAUGAAGAGAGCUUGCUCUCUGAUUCAGCGGCGGACGGGUGAGUAAUGCCUAGGAAUCUGCCUGGUAGUGGGGGACAACGUUUCGAAAGGAACGCUAAUACCGCAUACGUCCUACGGGAGAAAGCAGGGGACCUUCGGGCCUUGCGCUAUCAGAUGAGCCUAGGUCGGAUUAGCUAGUUGGUGAGGUAAUGGCUCACCGAGGCGAAGAUCCGUAACUGGUCUGAGAGGAUGAUAAGUCACACUGGAACUGAGACACGGUCCAGACUCCUAAGGGAGGCAGCAGUGGGGAAUAUUGGACAAUGGGCGAAAGCCUGAUCCAGCCAUGCCGCGUGUGUGAAGAAGGUCUUCGGACUGUAAAGCACUUUAAGUUGGGAGGAAGGGCAGUAAGUUAAUACCUUGCUGUUUUGACGUUACCGACAGAAUAAGCACCGGCUAACUCUGUGUCAGCCGCCGCGGUAACAC